rnacentral:rRNA from 1 species
GACGAACGCUGGCGGCAUGCCUAACACAUGCAAGUCGAACGAGACCUUCGGGUCUAGUGGCGCACGGGUGCGUAACGCGUGGGAAUCUGCCCAAAGGUUCGGGAUAACUCAGGGAAACUUGAGCUAAUACCGGAUGAUGUCUUCGGACCAAAGAUUUAUCGCCUUUGGAUGAGCCCGCGUCGGAUUAGCUUGUUGGUGAGGUAAAAGCUCACCAAGGCGACGAUCCGUAGCUGGUCUGAGAGGAUGAUCAGCCACACUGGGACUGAGACACGGCCCAGACUCCUACGGGAGGCAGCAGUGGGGAAUAUUGGACAAUGGGCGAAAGCCUGAUCCAGCAAUGCCGCGUGAGUGAUGAAGGCCUUAGGGUUGUAAAGCUCUUUUACCCGGGAUGAUAAUGACAGUACCGGGAGAAUAAGCUCCGGCUAACUCCGUGCCAGCAGCCGCGGUAAUACGGAGGGAGCUAGCGUUGUUCGGAAUUACUGGGCGUAAAGCGCAC